ACGGGUGAGUAACGCGUGGGAAUCUACCCUGAACUGCGGAAUAGCUCCGGGAAACUGGAAUUAAUACCGCAUGUGCCCUGAGGGGCAAAGAUUUAUCGGUUCAGGAUGAGCCCGCGUCCGAUUAGCUAGUUGGUGGGGUAAAGGCCUACCAAGGCGACGAUCGGUAGCUGGUCUAAGAGGAUGAUCAGCCACAUUGGGACUGAGACACGGCCCAAACUCCUACGGGAGGCAGCAGUGGGGAAUAUUGGACAAUGGGCGCAAGCCUGAUCCAGCCAUGCCGCGUGAGUGAUGAAGGCCCUAGGGUUGUAAAGCUCUUUCAGUGGGGACGAUAAUGACGGUACCCACAGAAGAAGCCCCGGCUAACUUCGUGCCAGCAGCCGCGGUAAUACGAAGGGGGCUAGCGUUGUUCGGAAUUACUGGGCGUAAAGCGCACGUAGGCGGACAUUUAAGUCAGGGGUGAAAUCCCGGGGCUCAACCCCGGAACUGCCUUUGAUACUGGGUGUCUUGAGUUCGGAAGAGGUGAGUGGAAUUGCGAGUGUAGAGGUGAAAUUCGUAGA
rnacentral:rRNA from 1 species